GUGCUCACUUCAGCAUCACAUAUGCUAAAAUUGGAACAAUACACAGAAGAUCAGCGUGGUCCCUGCACAAAGAUGACACACAAAUUCGUGAAGUGUUCCAUAUUUAU